rnacentral:rRNA from 1 species
AGCGAACGUUAGCGGCGGGCCUAACACAUGCAAGUCGAACGGAUCGUAGCAAUACUGUCAGUGGCGCACGGGUGAGUAACGCGUAGAUAAUCUACCUUCCAGCGGGGGAUAACGUUCCGAAAGGAACGCUAAUACCGCAUAAGACCACGGAGUCUUCGGGCUUUGGGGGAAAAGGUGGCCUCUCCUUGGAAGCUAUCACUGGAAGAUGAGUCUGCGUCCCAUCAGCUAGUUGGUGAGGUAAUGGCUCACCAAGGCUAAGACGGGUAGCUGGUCUGAGAGGAUGAUCAGCCACACUGGUACUGGAACACGGACCAGACUCCUACGGGUGGCAG